rnacentral:sRNA from 1 species
UGCGCCCGAACGCCGAACCUCGUCACUUUCUGGCGCAAUUCCUCGGACCGUCCGAGGCGCAUGACGAGGGUGGGGGAACCACUUUCGACGCACCAGCUCCACGCGUCUUGGGGUGAAGUCGGCACGACGCCGGCCGGGCACCUGACAGCCCGAACCCGACAGCUCACCUCACAGGCGUUCGUCAGGAAGGAUGC